AGAAAAGAAAAGAAAGAAAAAAGAAAGAAAGAAAGAAACAGCAGGAGUGAGGGGACUCCAGUUAAACCAACCUAACAGGACCCUUGCUGAAGUCAGGCCAGAGUGACCAGACUCCACCUGGGGGUUGACACGGGAUGGGGAAUUUGACUAGAUAUCCAAGGUGGUCAUCCUGGGGGUGGGGGACUCUGCUAAACCAACUUAGCAGGAUUCUUGGGCCAAGCAGGCCCAACAAGGAUGGACGCCAAAGCCCAUGGUGGAAGCCCAGUUGAGAAGGCCUGGAGAAGCCUGACUAAUGUCUAGUCGAAGGGGAAGUCUUUCCACACUCCCAUGCACAGGUGGGGUGACCCCUGUGUCUCUGUGAGCCCUGACAUCAGAAGUCCUGGACUUGGCUCCUGCUGUGCCUUUCCAGAGUUCUGCCCAGUGUGUCCUACUGUUAGACCCAGGCUGAAAAAUACCAGUUAACUCCUGACAAACUUCUGGGCCACAGACUCUCAGGAAAAUGGAGUAAGUCUGGUUCAUUCCCAAGCUAGAUGGGAAAGCAUUAAUUGAUUUCUUGCUUGACUAACUCACUCCCUGGGAAAUAGACCAGGAAGUACCAACUGUCCCUGGACUGACCUUUGAAUAAUAUCAGGUGGGGAAAGUACUGAAACAAAGAUGUAUGGCUAACUAACCACAAAGUUCUGCUUCUGUACAUUGCUUGCUUACCAACCUGGAUGCCUCUGGGCAGUGUGCAUGCCAACCAGUAUGCAGACCAGGUUUUAAAAACCUAAGCCCUUGGCUUGGCGCCUAUAGCUCAAGCGGCUAAGGCGCCAGCCACAUACACCAGAGCUGGUGGGUUUGGAUCCAGUCCAGGCUCACCAAACGACAAUGACAACUACAACCAAAAAAUAGCUGGGCGUUGUGGCGGGAAGCUAUAGUCCCAGCCACUUGGGAGGCUGAGGCAAGAGAAUCACUUAAGCCCAGGAGUUGGAGGUUGCUGUGAGCUGUGACGCCAUGGCAUUUUACCCAGGGUGACAGCUUGAGGCUCUGUCUCAAAAAUAAACAAACAAACAAAAAAAUUCUUAAGCAGUCAGGGCUGCUCUCCGAACCCCUGUGUUGGGUGUGAGACAGUCACUGGCUGGCUCUUUAAUAAAUGACUCUUCUGCUAAUUCAGCUGCUGUGGAGGUGUGGUCUUUGGGAGCUCCUGGGCACCUUUGGAGGCCCCAGGGAGAUCUUCUAGAACCCGGCCUCGAUGGUCUUUGGAAGGCCUCCAAGAGAGGGAAAUUCCGUGGCUCCACUGAGGGGAGGCACCACCUGAGAUGUUCCAGGACCCCUGGAGGACCCAGAGCCCUCAGAAGACCAACUGACGACCACCCUAAAUUAGAAAUGUGAGUCUGUCUGGUCACCUCCGAAGUCCUUACAGGCCCUCCAGAUCACCCAGGCGGCCAUCCAGAAACUCAUCAAGGACAGUCAGACAGCCCUGGUCGACCCUCCGGCCCUUGCUCACCUGCACCAGCCCGGAGACCUCAUACGGGUCAAGCGGUUCGGUUGCAAGACACUCGAACCCAAGUGGAAAGGACCCCUUCCCAUCAUCCUGUCCACUCUCACAGCUGUUAAAGUGGUUGGCAUUCCUGCCUGGAUUCACCAAGUAAAGCCAGCACCGCCUAGCAACAAGGGACAAAAGUGGACCGCCCGUCCAACAGGAGACCCCUUAAAGACUCUCGUGGGUACCCUCUCGUGGAUACUCCUCCUGCAGGGUGGGCACGGGUGGAAGUCGACUCCCCAUGAGCCCCAGUCUUGGGUCUGGGAGGUUAGACUUACUAAGACAGAUGAGAUAAUCCAGAAUGUUGCCACUAACUAACAGCCAACCUUCAAGUUAGACCUCUGUAACCUUGGUAUACCCUGUCAAGAAAUGGAGGUGUCCACACCUUUCACUGGGGCUGGGGAAAUCCAAAUACAGGAAGUGGGAUCUACACUUGGGGCUGUGGUACUACACGCUUAGAGAAAAACUUACAAGGCAUUCAGUACUAUGCCUGUUGCGCAGGAAGAGACCCAGAUUGCGGGGGGGCAGGAAGACUAUUAUUGUAAACACUGGGGCUGCAAGACAGAGGCCUCUUGGAUCCACUGGGAUGACUGGCUAGACAUUUACCCUUGAAACUGGCAAAGGCUGGCUGAACUCCACCUGUGUGGCCCCUGGUACCUGUAACCCAGUCAUUCUAACACCAAAAGGCUGAUCCAAUAUCUAUGAUCACAUGUGGGACAUAGGAAAGACUUGGGAACUCUAUGUAUAGGGCAGACACCCUGUGACUACUUACACAAUUCAACGCCACAGAUUUUCCACCCCAGCUCAACCCAUAGGCCCAAAUGUGGAAUUAAACCUCCCUCCACCACAGCCUAGACAGCCUCAACUCCUGAAGCCCACCUUUUACAGGCUGGAUGGAGCCCAACUCCUACAGAAGCUGAGCCGCCUGGGAGCGCAACUUCUGAUCCUAGAAUCUCCUCCUUCCUCAGAAUGUUAGAUGCUGUAUAUGGAUUCCUAUUCCUAUAAACACUUUCUAUAGGAAUCUGACUAGAGAUUGCUAGUUAUGAUUAAAACCUGGUCCUCCUUACUAUGUUGGGGUAGGAGUCAACUCAUCUGUCACAACCGGGAACCCAGAAAAAGUCAAUAUAGUAAACUCUUCCCAGUGUGACUGGCAUCAGCCAGAACUCACCCUGAAAGACCUACAGGGGCAGGGUCUGUGCAUAAUCUCCCGUGGAUAUAACCUCCAAGAUUCACCCUAUAAGAACUCCUGUAGCCAAGCAGUAUCAGAAAACAGGGCAGAAACUCAUGAACUCUUAUAUUACAAAGGCCCUUUUGAAACCUGGUUUGCCUGUACAAAUGGUUUGAGCCGCUGUGCCUCCAUUAGCUUAUUCUCAGAUGGACCUCCAAUCCUAUGUACACAUACCCCAAGUUCACAUCAUACUCCAAGUGUACAUAUAUGAUGGAGAAGGUGGAAGAGAAGACUUAAACCUGGACCUCAGUCCCAAACCCAGGAGAAUAAAAAGAGCCUCCAUUCUUGUCCUCCUCCUAAUCGCAGAAGGUAUAGCUGGGUUCCCGGCACUCAAGACCAGUUCACUAGCUUUACCGGACACCAACUUUAAAUACGUCAGCCAGCAAGUCACCCAAGACUCAGGAGCCUUGGAAAGCUCCAUUUCCCGGCUAGAAACACAAGUUGACUCUUUGGCUGAGGUGGUUCUGCAGAAUUGAAGAGUGCUAGACCUUCUCUUCCUGAAAGAGGGGGGACUAUGUGUAGCCUUGGGAGAAAAUUGCUGUUUUUACGCAAACCAGUCUGGAAUCAUUAGAGAAACUCUCUCUCUGGUUCAUAAAAGUUUAAAGGACAAAUAUUACCACCAGGAGGAGAAUAAAAACUGGUAUCAAUCCCUAUUCUCCUGGUCACCGUGACUCACAACUCUACUCACAGCUGCUGCUGGGCCACUCAUCCGCCUUAUCCUUCUCCUGGCAGUAGGGCCCUGCAUCUUGAAUCAAAUUACUGCAUAUGUUAGAAAGCAAAUAAGUGCUGUCAAACAUAUGAUAAUUAAAAACCAAUAUAAUCCUCUACCCACCACUGAGUCAAUAAUUUGACCCAGUCUUAUAAAAACACCAGGAGGGAGUGUUUGGCCCAGGCUAAAAAAUACCAGCUAACCCCUGACAAACUUCUGGAAAAUGGAGUAAGUCUGGUUCACUUCCAAGCUAGAUGGGAAAGUAUUAAUUGAUUUCUUGCUUGACUAAUUCACUCCCUGGGAAAUAGACCAGGAAGUACCAACUGUCCCUGGACUGACCUUUGAUACCAGGUGGGGAAAGUACUGAAACAAAGAUGUAUGGCUAACUACUUGCAAAGUUCUGCUUCUGUACAUUGCUUGCUUACCAAUCUGGGUGCCCCUGGGCAGCCUGCGUGCCAACCAGGAUGCAAACCAAGCUUUAAAAACCCAACCCCUUAAACAGUCAGGGCUGCUCUCUGAACCCCUGCGUUGGGUGUGAGGCAGUCGCUGGCUGGCUCUUUAA